AUUGAACGCUGGCGGCAGGCUUAACACAUGCAAGUCGAACGGUAACAUAAAGAAGCUUGCUUCUUUGAUGACGAGUGGCGGACGGGUGAGUAAUGCUUGGGAAUCUAGCUUAUGGAGGGGGAUAACUACGGGAAACUGUAGCUAAUACCGCGUAAUAUCGAAAGAUUAAAGUGUGGGACCUUCGGGCCACAUGCCAUAGGAUGAGCCCAAGUGGGAUUAGGUAGUUGGUGAGGUAAAGGCUCACCAAGCCGACGAUCUCUAGCUGGUCUGAGAGGAUGACCAGCCACACUGGGACUGAGACACGGCCCAGACUCCUACGGGAGGCAGCAGUGGGGAAUAUUGCGCAAUGGGGGCAACCCUGACGCAGCCAUGCCGCGUGAAUGAAGAAGGCCUUCGGGUUGUAAAGUUCUUUCGGUAGCGAGGAAGGCACUUAGUUUAAUAAACUAAGUGAUUGACGUAA
rnacentral:rRNA from 1 species